rnacentral:rRNA from 1 species
AAAUUGAAGAGUUUGAUCAUGGCUCAGAUUGAACGCUGGCGGCAGGCCUAACACAUGCAAGUCGAACGGUAACAGGAAGAAGCUUGCUUCUUUGCUGACGAGUGGCGGACGGGUGAGUAAUGUCUGGGAAGCUGCCUGAUGGAGGGGGAUAACUACUGGAAACGGUAGCUAAUACCGCAUAACGUCGCAAGACCAAAGAGGGGGACCUUCGGGCCUCUUGCCAUCGGAUGUGCCCAGAUGGGAUUAGCUAGUAGGUGGGGUAACGGCUCACCUAGGCGACGAUCCCUAGCUGGUCUGAGAGGAUGACCAGCCACACUGGAACUGAGACACGGUCCAGACUCCUACGGGAGGCAGCAGUGGGGAAUAUUGCACAAUGGGCGCAAGCCUGAUGCAGCCAUGCCGCGUGUAUGAAGAAGGCCUUCGGGUUGUAAAGUACUUUCAGCGGGGAGGAAGGGAGUAAAGUUAAUACCUUUGCUCAUUGACGUUACCCGCAGAAGAAGCACCGGCUAACUCCGUGCCAGCAGCCGCGGUAAUACGGAGGGUGCAAGCGUUAAUCGGAAUUACUGGGCGUAAAGCGCACGCAGGCGGUUUGUUAAGUCAGAUGUGAAAUCCCCGGGCUCAACCUGGGAACUGCAUCUGAUACUGGCAAGCUUGAGUCUCGUAGAGGGGGGUAGAAUUCCAGGUGUAGCGGUGAAAUGCGUAGAGAUCUGGAGGAAUACCGGUGGCGAAGGCGGCCCCCUGGACGAAGACUGACGCUCAGGUGCGAAAGCGUGGGGAGCAAACAGGAUUAGAUACCCUGGUAGUCCACGCCGUAAACGAUGUCGACUUGGAGGUUGUGCCCUUGAGGCGUGGCUUCCGGAGCUAACGCGUUAAGUCGACCGCCUGGGGAGUACGGCCGCAAGGUUAAAACUCAAAUGAAUUGACGGGGGCCCGCACAAGCGGUGGAGCAUGUGGUUUAAUUCGAUGCAACGCGAAGAACCUUACCUGGUCUUGACAUCCACGGAAGUUUUCAGAGAUGAGAAUGUGCCUUCGGGAACCGUGAGACAGGUGCUGCAUGGCUGUCGUCAGCUCGUGUUGUGAAAUGUUGGGUUAAGUCCCGCAACGAGCGCAACCCUUAUCCUUUGUUGCCAGCGGUCCGGCCGGGAACUCAAAGGAGACUGCCAGUGAUAAACUGGAGGAAGGUGGGGAUGACGUCAAGUCAUCAUGGCCCUUACGACCAGGGCUACACACGUGCUACAAUGGCGCAUACAAAGAGAAGCGACCUCGCGAGAGCAAGCGGACCUCAUAAAGUGCGUCGUAGUCCGGAUUGGAGUCUGCAACUCGACUCCAUGAAGUCGGAAUCGCUAGUAAUCGUGGAUCAGAAUGCCACGGUGAAUACGUUCCCGGGCCUUGUACACACCGCCCGUCACACCAUGGGAGUGGGUUGCAAAAGAAGUAGGUAGCUUAACCUUCGGGAGGGCGCUUACCACUUUGUGAUUCAUGACUGGGGUGAAGUCGUAACAAGGUAACCGUAGGGGAACCUGCGGUUGGAUCACCUCCUUACCUUAAAGAAGC